rnacentral:misc_RNA from 1 species
CGAAGAUAGAAAUCCAUUUAAUUUCCCCUCAUGAUGGUGUUGAUUUACACAUGGCCAUUUAGAAUUUGCACAAAACAAACAAGAUUUUCAAGGCGGAAAAUAAAUCACAAGUAAAGAUCGAAGGGAUGAAAUGGUAGAAAGAAUUGCAUGUUGAGUGAUGGGCAUAAAAAAUUAAUCAUAUUGGGAAAAUAAAUUCGUAUAGCCUAUUACUAGAUAGAUUCUAUAUAAUGCCAUCCACUAACACGGCGCAUCCCAGGAAGUCAUUGAGAUGUGACGACCUUGCUCGUAAAUCAUAAUUAUAAAUUGGUGAUAGAAACUAUAGUGACUAAAAAGCCCGGCUGCAGUUCCUUCUCUCGUAUGUAUAUGCUCAAUCCUGGUCAGGAAAAUCUCAAAAUCUGGUUAAGAUUAGUCUCUUCGGGCUUGAGGUUUUGCGAAGCGCCAAGAGCCCAACAUGAACGAUAUAAUAUAUGCUUAUCUAUCACCACAACAUCUAGGAACAUUUCCUUCUUGAAGUUUCUGCCACAGACAAAGCAUCUCCCUAGGACCUUGGUAGUGGGCGACAAUGUAACCAUCCUUGCACCCUUCAUUAUAGAUCCUUUCAUUGUUCUCAUACCUAAUUUUUAAUCCCUCUUUUUCCAUCUGGUUUAUCCAGAUGCCCAUUGCCACAUCUUCUAGCUUAAAAAUCUUUAAACGACCUUCUUUAUAUCUCCUGUAAACUUCCUUUGCUAUGUCGCCGGAGACCACAUAACCAGGACCAUGUGCCCAAGGUGGGUAUUUCUCUUCAGGCCACUCCUCAAGGCUAAUAUACCAUUUGCUAUCAGUACUCCGAUGAGGUUUGGAAUCUGAGUUGAUAAGUCCAUAAAGCAAGCCAUUGCUCACUUUGAUCUUAUUUAAAGAAUCUAACACUUCAUCCACUCGAACAAAUGCAUCAUCAUCAGUCUUCAUGACAUAAUUUGCUGAUGCAACCUCUUUCCCAAAGAUGCAGAUGGCUAAAGUUUUCCAUGUGAUGAGGUUGUAAUAGUCAACAAAAGGCAUCAGCUGUAUGUCUCCAUAUGUUCGUGCUUCAUUCCAAAGUUCCUCAUUUACUAAUUGAUUUUUAUGCUGCAAUAAACCUCAAAAUUGUAAGUGACCCAGCAAAAAGAUCUGCAUGACUACACUGACUUUUUACACCUUCAACUUGUGGCUGGUUGCUCAAGAAUACCAAAUACACAAGCUGAGACCUCCAUCAUAUGUGGCUUACAAAAAGAAACAUAGGACCCACCCAUAACAAGAUGAUAAAACUUAGGACCCACCCAUAACAGGAUGAUGCCUUUCAUGUCCAAAUCAAUUAGAUUGUGGUUUCACCACGACACUACUUCAAUUAGGAUAACUUUCCUUUCUUCUAAAUAUGGCCAGAAAACAUCAGCACCAUAAUAAUUUCUGAACAAAAAAUAGAAGGGAUUUACUUGCAAAAGCUCACCAAACCAACAAAAAAGCGCACUGCUACAGUUCCUGACCGAACUGGAGCGUACUGCAUCCAAGUUCUUCGAACAGCCAUCCUGCGUUUAAAAUUGUUUGCUGUGGAGAAAACACCAAUAAAGAGAUGUGGUGGUUUUCUAGGAGAGAGAGGAACUGAUUUGAGUGCUUCUAGAUCAACUGUACGUUCUGAAUCCUCUGAUGUAGGCAGACCACUAGCCACAACAGAAAUCAGCUUCAAGUCUCCAGAGAUCCUAACUUCACUAACCAGCCAUGGUUCCAAGGUUUCACGAUAUGCAAAAGACGUUAUGUACUUUCCAUCAACUGUCAUCUGGAUUCCCUCUGAUCCCACUCUAAGUGUUGCAACAGAUAAAUAACCUUGCUUAAAGGGAAAAUAUCUUCUUCUUAUAGAUCCAUCCUGAACCAUUGAAGGCCUCCUUGAACCUUUUGAAUGCAAGCUAGCCACCAAAGUAUCAUUUCUACCCACUAUCUUGUUACAUUGAUCCAACUCAUCCACUUUCUUACUUUUUUCAGGAGUAGGAGAUGGGCAACGCUCCUCUUCACCCCAAUCAUGGGCUGCAGUCCAGGUGUUUUGAACUAUAACUGGAUCCUCAGUUAUCUUAUCGCCAUGCAGCCUAACAUUGUAAUGUAAAAUGAUGGGUGGAUCAGGCUCCCCAGGAAGUGCUUCCCCUGUUAAGUCAAUCCGAAAAUUUCCAAGAAGACCAUUUGGAAUGCCUAUAAUUGUUAUGGAUGAACCCUGAGUCAGGCCACAAGUAAGUCGCAACUUGAAGCCACUACUGGCAAGUGAUGUGGCAUUCACUUGGUUAAGAAAAUGAGGACACUGUUUUUCUUUUGCUCUCCUAUUUAAACUUUCAUUUGUAGAACCACGUCUUUCCUCUUCAAUUGAAGCCAUAAGGCUGUUCCAUGCAUUCCCAGCUUCCUUAAUAGCCUCUACUCCAUUGGGUAAAAAUUGAGCUUGAUCAAUCAAGUGUUUCAGUAGAUUCCACGUGUGCAAAGAUUCUUGUUCUUCAUUGGAAAUAUUCCUCUGAGCAAACAAACUGAAUACUAUGGCAUCAGUAGAAAUCACUUGAGUAGAAUUCUCUGGAUUUUUAUAUGCUGGUGGAAGUGUCGCUUGCACCCAUUCAAGAGGAUUAGUUGCAUUGGAGAAAGCAUUCAUCAAAUAACUUUCUCCAAUAGGAUUUUUCAUGAGAGCAAAUCUUAGGAUCAGCAACAUAAACAAGGAUGCAAUCAGAACACCACCAAACCAUCUCUUCAUUCUGUUGAUUAAAAGAAUGCAUUAAAAUAUUCGAUCCUGAUUUCGGGUUUGAUUGAGCUUUAAAGAACCAAAACCCUCCAGCCUGUAAUUGUUAUGCGAACAAUGAACAAAUCUCUUGAGAACAAUUUUUGUAAGUCUCCACAGGCUGUCAUGCUAAUAUAAAGAAAAUAGGAUCAAUAUAUCCAACCAAAAACAGUUGACGUCUUCAGAAAGAUGGGAAACAGAGUGGAGAUGAAAAUGUAGAAGGAUCAGAUCCUCUUAUUAUCAGCCAGCUACCUGACUGAGCCAACUAUCAAGCUCUGAAAGUACAUGCUCCUGCUGCAGCUCAAUUUCUUCUUAACUCAAUUCCAACUCUGCUACAUACUUUUUCAUCGAAAGUAUCGCACAGAACUAUUCAAGCUGCCUGAAUCUGAAGAGAAACAAUGGCGGAGAGAAAGAGAGAAAAUGCUUUUCCGAGAGAGAGAGAGAGAGAGAG